UUUCCUUGCCUGUAGAGAAGCCGCAGAAACUAAGUGGAAACAGAUGGGAUACGAACCAGGGGCAGGAGGAUGUGGGCUGGCCCUCCGGUGAUUUCCUCAGGACCCUGGGCGCUGGAAUCCCCCACCUCUGGCCAAGGAAGGGAUGGAGAUCCUUAGGCGGGAAAAACGGGAAGCGCAGUCAGCCAGGCAGCCUCCGCGGCCCGCAGCCUCUGCAGGCACCGACCCAGCUUGUCCUGCCCUCCCCCAGGUGAGUGAUCCGGCCCCGGCCCCCAGGGGGGGUGUGAGCCAGGAACGAGGAGGGGACCCUCCCAGCUCUGGGCCACACGUCACCCGGGCCCUGGCUUUCCACCCUCCCAGCUCCCUCUCCCCGCCAGGGCUUGGGCUCCGGGCCUCUCCACCUGCCUGCCUGGCCUCACCCUCUUGCCUUCUCUUCCUCCAUUUCCGAUUUCCUCUUCCUGCCCUCCUCUUCUUGCCCGGCCUUCUCAGCUCGCCUUUUUCUCUCUAGUCCCUGCCAGGUUUUCCAAAAGGAAGGAAAAGAACGAUCAAUGUUGGGCUUAUCCUUUUCCCAAGACGAGGGAGUAGGCGGGCAAGGGUGAGGGCAGGUGUGUGUGUGUGUUUGUGAGCGUGUGUCAGGUCCCCCCAGGUGCCUGUGUGUGGGACCGUGGGAACGAAAGUGUGUGAGCCUGUUUAUGUGUUUGUGAGUAUGCCUGUGGGUGUCUGAGUGUGUCUGGGUUGUUCCAUGAAUACGUGUCUGUGAGGGUUGGCGGGUGAGUGUGUGGGCUUGGGGUGAUCUGAGGCUAGAUAGGGAGACCAGGUGGGAGUCUGCCCCUGCCUCCCUUGGGAUCACCCCUCAAGGUCAGGGCCAAAGCACCUGUCGCGGGGGCGGGCUCUCCCACCUGCUCUCCUCCAGAGCCAGCUGGACCUUUCUGUGGUCGGGCCUCUAACAGAGAGAGCGAGCCUGGGGCGUGCAGUGAGGCAGCCUCCUGUUUGAUCACAAACAGCCCAGAUUUUCCAAAGCUGGUGAGAGGCCCACCCCAGGGAAGUCCCUGGCGAGGAGGGGCCAGGAGGAGUGGAGGCCGAGUCACCGUCACAACAGCUUCUGGGCUGGAGAAGAAUGAAGGGCGCAGUGGGAGGGGCCCUGAAGAGGGAGCACGGAGAGGACUUGGGGUGAGGCGGAAGGAAGACUGCUCGCAGGGGCCUGUCAGGGCUUCCCAGGAUUAGGAAAUAUUCUGGUUCCCAUGGGUCUGCCUCCUUCAGGGGCUGGGCUGGGCCUGGCUGAC
rnacentral:lncRNA from 1 species